GACGAACGCUGGCGGCGUGCUUAACACAUGCAAGUCGAACGGUGAAGCGCCUUCCUUUUUGGUGGGUGUGGAUGAGUGGCGAACGGGUGAGUAACACGUGAGUAACCUGCCCCCGUCUUCUGGAUAACCGCAUGAAAGUGUGGCUAAUACGGGAGAUUCUGGGUCUGUCGCAUGAUGGGUCUGGGAAAGAUAUUGUUUCGGUGGGGGAGGGGAUCGCGGCCUAGCAGCUUGUUGGUGGGGAGAUGGCCUACCACGGCGGUGAGGGGUGGCCGGCCUGGGAGGGUGGGCGGUACCAGUGGGACUGAGACGCGGACCAGACUACUACGGGAGGCAGCAGUGGGGAAUAUUGCACAGUGGGAGCAAGCCUGAUGCAGCGACGCGGCGUGAGAGAUGGAGGCCUUCGGGUUGUGAACCUCUUUCGCGAGUGAAGCAGGCCUGCCUCGUUUGUGGGUGGGUUGACGGUAGCUGGAUAAGAAGCGCCGGCUAACUACGUG
rnacentral:rRNA from 1 species